AAACUCAAAUGAAUUGACGGGACCCGCACAAGCGGUGGAUGAUGUGGUUUAAUUCGAUGCAACGCGAAAACCUUACCCACCUUUGACAUGUACGGAAUCCUUUAGAGAUAGAGGAGUGCUCGAAAGAGAGCCGUAACACAGGUGCUGCAUGGCUGUCGUCAGCUCGUGUCGUGAGAUGUUGGGUUAAGUCCCGCAACGAGCGCAACCCUUGUCAUUAGUUGCUACGAAAGGGCACUCUAAUGAGACUGCCGGUGACAAACCGGAGGAAGGUGGGGAUGACGUCAAGUCCUCAUGGCCCUUAUAGGUGGGGCUACACACGUCAUACAAUGGCCGGUACAAAGGGUUGCCAACCCGCGAGGGGGAGCCAAUCCCAUAAAGCCAGUCGUAGUCCGGAUCGCAGUCUGCAACUCGACUGCGUGAAGUCGGAAUCGCUAGUAAUCGUAGAUCAGAAUGCUACGGUGAAUACGUUCCCGGGCCUU
rnacentral:rRNA from 1 species